UACGUAGGGUGCAAGCGUUAAUCGGAAUUACUGGGCGUAAAGCGUGCGCAGGCGGUUGUGUAAGACAGAUGUGAAAUCCCCGGGCUCAACCUGGGAACUGCAUUUGUGACUGCACGGCUCGAGUGCGGCAGAGGGGGAUGGAAUUCCACGCGUAGCAGUGAAAUGCGUAGAGAUGUGGAGGAAUACCGAUGGCGAAGGCAGCCUCCUGGGCCAACACUGACGCUCAUGCACGAAAGCGUGGGGAGCAAACAGG
rnacentral:rRNA from 1 species